UAGUCUGCAACUCGACUACAUGAAGCUGGAAUCGCUAGUAAUCGCGAAUCAGAAUGUCGCGGUGAAUACGUUCCCGGGUCUUGUACACACCGCCCGUCACACCAUGGGAGUCGGAUAUGCCCGAAGUCAGUGACCCAACCAUAUGGAGGGAGCUGCCGAAGGUGGAGCCGAUAACUGGGGUGAAGUCGUAACAAGGUAUC
rnacentral:rRNA from 1 species